GCGGACACUGCACUGCCAUAAAUUAAAUCUGUGGUGAAUCCCCCCUAUGCGGCGGGGCAAUACUGACACACGUAGUUUCAGCCAUUACGAUAUACACCAUUGCGGGAUGCUUUGUCAGUAGCGUAUCUAACCGGGAGGCACCCGGCACCACAAUCAGAAUUGUUAAAUCUCAGAGGGUUAUGGCA
rnacentral:sRNA from 1 species